CAGACCAUAACUGUAAAGUGAAUCAUAGUUUUUUUUUUUUUUCAUUUAUUAGUGCAUAUAAAAGCCUAAAAAUAUAUUUACAUUAUCAUUCAUUAAAUGCCAAUGGUACUAAAUCUAAAAACACUCAACUGGAUGGCAAUGAUGAAGCAUUCACUUAUCACCUUGGAAGAUCCAAUUCUGGCUCUCAUGCCUCCAGGUUUUUCAAGAUUGGAUAGCACUAUAUUAAUAAAGUGCUGCAGAGUGAAGUAUGCUUUACGAUGCUUCACUAAUAUCAAUAUAAUUAAUUUCCUUGCUAUAUAUUUAAAUGAUUUAUUAACAAAUUGUAAUCUUUAAAAUACUU
rnacentral:lncRNA from 1 species